rnacentral:rRNA from 1 species
GAUGAACGCUGGCGGCGUGCUUAACACAUGCAAGUCGAACGGAAAGGCCCAAGCUUGCUUGGGUACUCGAGUGGCGAACGGGUGAGUAACACGUGGGUGAUCUGCCCUGCACUUCGGGAUAAGCCUGGGAAACUGGGUCUAAUACCGGAUAGGACCACUUCUUGGAUGUUGUGGUGGAAAGUUUUUUCGGUGUGGGAUGAGCUCGCGGCCUAUCAGCUUGUUGGUGGGGUAAUGGCCUACCAAGGCGUCGACGGGUAGCCGGCCUGAGAGGGUGUACGGCCACAAUGGGACUGAGAUACGGCCCAGACUCCUACGGGAGGCAGCAGUGGGGAAUAUUGCACAAUGGGCGCAAGCCUGAUGCAGCGACGCCGCGUGGGGGAUGACGGCCUUCGGGUUGUAAACUCCUUUCGCUAGGGACGAAGCGUUUUGUGACGGUACCUGGAGAAGAAGCACCGGCUAACUACGUG